CUGAACUGCGGGCCAGCGGCGGUGGGAAGUCGAAGGGGUCUAGGGUGGCUCGGAUUGACGUGGCGUAAAGGGGGCGUAGGCGGGUCGUUAAGUUGGGGGUGAAAGCCCAGGGCUCAACCCUGGAAUUGCCUUCAAUACUGGCGACCUUGAGUAUGGCAGAGGUGUGUGGAACUCCGAGUGUAGAGGUGAAAUUCGUAGAUAUUCGGAAGAACACCAGUGGCGAAGGCGACACACUGGGCCAUUACUGACGCUGAGGCGCGAAAGCGUGGGGAGCAAACAGGAUUAGAUACCCGAGUAGUC
rnacentral:rRNA from 1 species